UGAAUAUAGAGAGGAUGCAGUGUCCAAUCCUACUCGGGUAAAGGCGACCGAGGAUGGGCGAUUAGAGUACCAUUAGUGAUGUGAGGUAAGUAGAGGCAGGAGCAGAAGACAGGUUGCAGUGCACUCAGGAAUUCAUUGGAGGUGACAGAGGAGACACCACAUUCAGCCUCUGAGCAAACUACUUGGCUAAGUCAAGAAAGAAAGACACGACUGAUUGCAGUGAUGGUCGCACAACUCUGAAUUUUCUGGAACCCCUGAGUUGCAUGCUUUAAAUGGGUGAGCUGUACGGUAUGUGAGUUGUGUCUGCUUUAAGAGAGAAAAAAAGACACAGGGUGCGAGCUAGAGUAGACGAGGACAGAAGGUAAGAGGAAGAGCUGAGCGUAUUUAUAGGCUGAGGAGCAGAAGCCAGUAGAAAGCACGAGGUUCCCGAGGGGGAGAACAUGUCACCUGAGCACAGAGGUUCGGAUCAGCCCGGGGCGGAAGGGAGCCUUGGGGGGCAGGACGGAGGUAAGGAGGGGGGCAGAUGGAGGUAGGCCUGCGGGCGGGGAGGCCUUGGAGGUUGAGCGAGCCCCCACUAAUGGUGUGUAUUUCCUCCGUGAAGUGGAAAACACAACUUCAUGUUCAUGAGGAGGUGAAGAAAGCCAUUUGUCCUGCUUCCCUCUCCGGCUGGGAGCCUGUGCUGUUACAGGGAGGUGCUUCCAUUGACCCAGAUCUCUGGUCAGAGCUCGAAAGGCUCAUUCUCAACCUAUUUUCUGCAGUGACUCACUUAGCAGUUGACAUCUAAAUGCACGACAAGCUCCCAGAGGUGAACCUGGGGCCACAUGUAAUUCCCCAUAUGCCACCAUGAGGCCCACUCAGACGGCAUACAGGAAUCGAUAACCGACCUGGGAUAUCCCCCGCAGCGCACCUUGCCCCACAUGUACAUCAGCAGGCACAAAGGACGCCUGUGGUCUCGUGAACUCACCUGUUGCUUGCACGCAAGUUCCCAUGAACUAGUCUGCGCGUUGGCCCCCAGGACCUACUAAUGCCAACACCUGAAGCACCCAUAGAGACAAAGAAAAUUCCCUCCAUCCCAGAAGUGGGGCAGCGGGGCACAGAAGAAAACUUAUAAAAAUAACCAAAAUAAAAAUAAGAAUGCAACGAUUCUUAUGCCCAGCCAGGAGCUUAGAGACAAGGCCACCAAAGUCAACCCCCCUCAUUCUCCCAUGGACUCUACAAAGAGAAGGGAAAAGAGGAAGGAAACUAAAAGGCAGUGACCAAGUCACGUACAAAUGCUUUGCACGGACGAUCUAAUACAUGCGUCCCCACGGCCCUAAAAGCUGAGCAGGCAGCAGCAGCAGCAGCAAGAAUAUCAUCCUUCUCCUCUUCCUCAUCUGCACCAGAGCCAUUUUUCCCACCAGGAAGCUAAAGUUGCCCACAGCCAAGUGGCUGAGCUGAGGCCCAGUUCUGACAAGCUCCGAAGCCCAAGCCCUGCAACACCUCCGCACGGCACCCACUGCCCCGAUUCCCCCUGCCCCCACACCACCCUGACGCCAUCCGCCAGGGGCUUCGACAGCACAGCAGUGGUGCUUUCUCCUUUACCUUGGCAUGCUCUCCUGAUGAGAACGUCCAGUCUACCUUGGUCAUGCGUUUCUCUCCUGUGCUCUGGAGAACACAGCCCAGCUGAGUCGAAUCACCCACAUGGGCCAUGAGCUCUGGGGAUAAAAGGGUAACUCAAGUCAAACCCAAGGUAUAAUCUACAGAAGUCAAAGAACUUCCAGAAGAGAUCAUGUUUAGCCAAAGAUCCUCAGCCAUAAAAUCAAUGCCACCCCCCAAAUACCACACACAUUCACUCCGCAGAUGAGCCAGAUGAUCCCGUGUGGACAAAGCACUCAGAGGCGUCUCACUCACAUGACACCCCACAGCUGAGAGAAUACCCGUGGCUACCCACACACGUCAACUCUGAGGGGUCUUCAAUCUACGGUAAACACAUUCUGAUUCCCUUUAAUUCCCUGCUCCUUCCCCUUUUCCAGAAUUUCUCUCCAGUCCCAAUUCAACUUCAGGUUUAUACUAAAGAAAGGACAGAAAAUCUUGAAGCCCCCUCUUUCUUUCUUCUUUUUUCGAAGCCCCCCUCUUUCCGAUCACCGGCUUAGAAGCCCACAUCUGCCGAACAUAAACAGGAAGUGGAAAGUUAUAUAAUUCUCAUGCUUAUAUAUAACCCACUGGCUCUUUGAGCUGAAAAACUGAAUCACGGGUGACUUUCUUCAAUUUCUUUCCUUCUUUUUACAGGUUGUCUUAGGACUGGCUUAAGACAGCGCUGGCUAUGGUACAGGUCACAGGACUGCUUGCUAAUUAGGCCAAGACAAUAGACAGCUUUUCUCUUGGCUUGUCUUUCUGUUUUAAUCCCUGCCCCCACUCCCCCAACAGAUUCCCUUGCUUCUGGCUUCCCAACUCCUAGACUCUUCUUUCUGCUUUUUUUGUACGCGCAACUGACCCCAUCAUGUGUUUACUGCGUAAAUCAUUUCAAGGGGCCACUGAAAAAAAAAACUAGCAAAAUGAUUCUGAUUUUUCAAGAAUACGCUACACAAACCAACCCCAAAGUCAGUUAAGAAAUGAAAGGCAGGAUGGUGUUUGGGGAGACACAAACCUAGGGCUUAACUGGACAGAAUUCCUUCAAAAGAGCAUUAAGCAAUGCUCAUGAAGGAGCAAACUUGGGGCAUAAGCCGAUCUUUUCAUCCAAAUUGUUGCUCUGGGGGAACAUGAACUUCCUGCCCAGCAGGGGAGAUGCACAAUAGGAGGAAAGCAAAAGAAAAUAUUAUGAACUUGAAACUCUAUGGAGGGAGUCAUUUUGAAAGUAACAAAAAUUCACUCCAAAGAAGACGGAUAGGGAGGGAAGGUCCCCCUAAAUCCAACAGCACAUUAAGAGCUGAACUCUAUUUUUUUUUAAGUUUAUUUAUUUAUUCUGAAAGAGAGA